CUAUUCCCUACAUAGUGCAGUACCCUAUGGGCUCUGGUCAAUAGUAGUGCACUACAUAGGGAAUAGGGAGGCAUUUGGUACACAGACAUAGUUUCCUCUGUCCUGUCAAAGCUAUUCUAUAAUCAGCAGAGCGUGUCCCUCCCCUCAAAGAGUAGGAAGACAUUAUUCAAGCUUCCUCCUUCUGAUCUUGGGCCCACAACAAACCGUGUAGUCCAUGGCUGACUGGUUAAAGGGAAAAGACAGGAACACAAUGUGCCCCUGUCACCAACGACCAACCAACGGCAGAUACAGCCAUAGAAACAGAAUUACUAGAACACUCGGGAAUCCCCCAUUCAAGUCAAUGAUGCCAUGAUGGUUUCCCAGCGCGGCGACCGGAAUUGGGAAUGCUUUCAAUUUCCUCUGCCUCCUACCGCCUGGAGCCUAGCUGCUUGUCAGUGUCCAUAGGGGGGGAAAGGACCAGGACCUGCCACGCGUAUGGGAGCCCCACAUCUCACAGCCAGCCUCUGUCUGUAUGUGUCCCAACUGGCACCCUAUUCCCUAUAUAGUGCACUACAUUUGAUCAAAAGGUGUGCACUACAUAGGGAAUAGGGUGCCAUUUGUAACACAGUCAUUGUGUCCACAGGCCUCCUGCCUGUCCCGAGCCUGCCUCCUCCUGUCUCCUCCUGCAUCUAUGAAACCAACAGUUUAUUCUCUAGCAGCAGGGCCUGGAGCAAGCUCCGAGGGGGAGCAUUGUACGGCAUUACCAAGACAAUGGUGCCAUAUGGGGAACAGAAGGAUCUCCUGCUCAGUCUAUUCAGCGCGGAAAGGCUGCGGAGCAAACGCCAAUCCACGUAUGCAUGGCAGCGGUCACUUCAAGGUUACACUUUUUAGCAUAACAACUGAAUGAAAAAGUGAAAAGUCAUUUUAUUCCCAUUUAGGGCUAUUAUUGGCGUGGAGCGGGUUGGAGGAAAGGGGGGGGGGGUGUAUUGGUCCUUAACAAUACGAGUCACAGUCAACAGACUGGCUGGGGCUCACAGAGGGAGUGAUAAUGGGCUUGUAUCAUGUUCAUCAAAUCUACAUCCAGUCAAAGGGAGUGCCACGCUGGUUUGUGUAUGUUGACUCUGGGACACAGUGAUUGUGUCUACAUUAUUGUAAACGUAGGUCAGCAAUGCAUAAAGGGAGCAUUGCUAUUUAAACACCACUAUAUCUAUUUUUUAUUCUAAAAAUAAAAUGUGUGUGUGUUUUUUUAAUCUUGUUGACAAAUCCUAAAGAUAGAAAUAUCUAUUUUGUUUAUUUUCCAUGAGGUUUCAAAAAUAGACUUUGGACUGUGACGUCACGUCCAAGUCAAGGCGGCAAUAUGAUCCAAUAAUAAAUAAUAAAUAAUAAA